GUGCUUGCUUUGGCAACACAUAUAUUAAAAUUGGAAUGAUACAGAAGAGAUUAGCAUGGCCCCUUUGAGAGGAUUAUAUGCAAAUCUGUAAAGAGUCUUUUUCCAUCUUA
rnacentral:snRNA from 1 species